AUGACUUCCACUGCUGCUCUACACUUGUAUUAUAUUGCAAGAAAUUAUUUGUCAUUUUUUUUUAAAUUGCUUUUUCUCCCUUUUUCAGAAAACCACAACUGGCUCUGGAUUCUUUAUCUCUUUUGCCUCAUUUUUGUAUUAGAGGAGAUCCAGGCACGAGGAAGAUCAAGGAAGGGUGCAGAGAAAGGGACCCUGAAGAAGGAGAUGGGAAAGCUCCAUUCAAAGUCUGAAAAUCUGGAGAAGAAGAACGGUGAGUGGGACAGUACCAUGGCAAGGCAUUCCUUCCACCUAUAUGCAGGUUUAUUUGUCAUGGUGUUGUGCUGGUGGUGAGAUGUGCACGUAGGAGUGUUUGGAAGAGCUGAGAGUGCAGGAGGGGCUGUGGAGGGAAGACAGAGCUGGGGAGCAUGGAGAUGGAGGGCCUGAGCCGUCCUUAAUGGUGCUGGUGAAGCGGAGUCCGGUGCUGGUGGCACCAAGGCAAGCCAGGUGUGGGGCGUCGUGAGUGGUGGUGUGUCAGGGCAUGAAGACAAGUCUCUCCAGAGAAGGCUUUUGCUAGAGGCAUGGGUGGGAAUUCCCGUGUGCUCUUGUUUCUUGGGCCUGACUUGUUGUCUUCUUUUGUGGUGGCUGUGGUGACUGUGCAGAGGAGCUCCGUGCCAAGUCUGGUGAGUCCUUGUGCUUGCCCUCGUCAUUUGCUACUGAGGGCCUCCCAUCCCAUUCCGCAAGCCCUGUGGGCUCUGGCAUUGUAAGUAAGCUGUUGCC
rnacentral:lncRNA from 7 species